rnacentral:rRNA from 1 species
AACGAACGUUAGCGGCGCGCCUAACACAUGCAAGUCGAACGCGACAGGGGCAACUCUGUUGAGUGGCGCACGGGUGAGUAACACGUAGGUAAUCUCCCCUCGAGUGGUGGAUAACUUUCCGAAAGGAGAGCUAAUACAGCAUGAGACCACGGCUUCGCAAGGAGCUGAGGUCAAAGCGGAGGAUCGCAAGACUUCGCGCUUGAGGAUGAGCCUGCGGCCCAUCAGGUAGUUGGCGGGGUAAUGGCCCACCAAGCCUUAGACGGGUAGCUGGUCUGAGAGGAUGAUCAGCCACACUGGAACUGAGACACGGUCCAGACUCCUACGGGAGGCAGCAGUGGGGAAUCUUGCGCAAUGGACGAAAGUCCGACGCAGCGACGCCGCGUGGGUGAUGAAGGCCUUCGGGUUGUAAAGCCCUGUGGGGAGGGACGAAUAAGUUGCGGUUAAUACCCGCAGCGAUGACGGUACCUCCUUAGCAAGCACCGGCUAACUCUGUGCCAGCCGCCGCGGUAAGAC